rnacentral:rRNA from 1 species
CAGUAGCCGCGGGAAUACGUAGGGUGCAAGCGUUAAUCGGAAUUACUGGGCGUAAAGCGUGCGCAGGCGGUUAUAUAAGACAGAUGUGAAAUCCCCGGGCUCAACCUGGGAACUGCAUUUGUGACUGUAUAGCUAGAGUACGGCAGAGGGGGAUGGAAUUCCGCGUGUAACAGUGAAAUGCGUAGAUAUGCGGAGGAACACCGAUGGCGAAGGCAAUCCCCUGGGCCUGUACUGACGCUCAUGCACGAAAGCGUGGGGAGCAAACAGGAUUAGAUACCCCUGUAGUCCCUGUCUCUUAUAU